rnacentral:rRNA from 1 species
AGAGUUUGACCCUGGCUCAGAUUGAACGCUGGCGGCAUGCUUUACACAUGCAAGUCGAACGGCAGCACGGGCUUCGGCCUGGUGGCGAGUGGCGAACGGGUGAGUAAUGCGUCGGAACGCGCCGAGUAGUGGGGGAUAACGCAGCGAAAGCUGUGCUAAUACCGCAUACGUACUGAGGUAGAAAGUGGGGGACCUUCGGGCCUCACGCUAUUCGAGCGGCCGACGUCUGAUUAGCUAGUUGGUGGGGUAAAGGCUCACCAAGGCGACGAUCAGUAGCGGGUCUGAGAGGAUGAUCCGCCACACUGGGACUGAGACACGGCCCAGACUCCUACGGGAGGCAGCAGUGGGGAAUUUUGGACAAUGGGCGCAAGCCUGAUCCAGCCAUGCCGCGUGUCUGAAGAAGGCCUU